ensembl:lncRNA
CAGACUGGAGAUGAUGGAGACCGAGAGAGACCAAGAUGGAGACCCAGUAAUGAUGAUGAAGCUGUAAGGUGGUGGAAACAGGUGAUCCUGCUGGCUGGGCCAAGCCUCCACAUUCAAAAAGAAUUGGACUGUUCCCAGGCUCUCUCAUGCAUCUCUAAGCUCUCCAACACAGGACAAUUUACUGGCUGGGAGCAGCAUAGCCAAGGACCAAGAGCUGGAGACCUGACUGAGGAACGGCUGCAUGACGCCCCAGCCUGCAGGAAGCUGAACUAAACCCUAUGCCUCCAGCGUCCCUCACUUCUCACUUCUUCUCUCUUCUGCUUCGCCUCUGAGAGAGCGGUUCUCUAACAAAGAUCUCAGCGGCCGCCGGCCAACUCUGACCCUUCACCAUCAUGGCACUCCAUUGGUUCUCUGUUGUGCCGCUGAAAGAACCCUCCGCGUCCAGACACUGACAUUUGAUUCUGCAGGAAUUACUGAGGCCCACCCCUCUGACCCGAGUCAUCAAUGUCCACCCAGCGUACAGAGUGAGAAGCCUCCUGAGUGUUCGAUCGUGGGGCAGGAGUUUCCAAUACCUGCUUGCCUGGGAGGGUUAUGGCCCGGAGUAGGGGUGCUGGGUCCCCGCUAGAGACAUCCUGGACCCAGCCCUCAUCGCCGACUUCCACCGCAGGGCAACCCGGUCAACCAG